rnacentral:rRNA from 1 species
AGUGAACGCUGGCGGCGUGCCUAAUACAUGCAAGUCGAACGAGUGGCGCACGGGGGAGUAAUGUAUAGCUAAUCUGCCCUGCACUAGAGGAAAACAGUUGGAAACGGCUGCUAAUACUCUCUAGUGUAGGAGGUGGGUAUAUUUGAUCAUCUAGUUGGUGAGGUAUUGGCUCACCAAGGCUAUGACGCAUAACUCGUCUGAGAGGAUGAUCAGUCAAACUGGAACUGAGGCACCGUCCAGACACCUACGGGAGGCAGCAGUAGGCAAUAUUGCCCAAUGGGGGAAACCCAGAAGCACCAACGCGGCGUGGAGGAUGUUACUUUGCGGAGCGUAAACUCCUUUUGUUAGGGAAGCGGUACCUAACGAAUAAGCACCGGCUAACUCCGUGCCAGCAGCCGCGGUAAUAC